UUAACAUCUGUCCCACUCUUGUCCC
rnacentral:piRNA from 1 species